rnacentral:lncRNA from 1 species
GGGCUCUGAAUUUCUAGCAGGGGACAGUGGGUGCUGAUUUAGGACCUUUGCUUCUGUCCCCGGAGGCUUCCCAGCUUCCCGACUAUCUGUGACUCAAUAGGGUCAUGAAAAUGAAUGAGAAAUAGGAGAACCCGGAGUUCUUGCUGUUCCUUUGGCUGUCUCUGCUUGGGGAGGAUGCCAGAACGCUUGGUGUGACCAAAGGGCUUGAAAGGGUUGGCAUGUGUUUCCUUUUGAGGUUAUUCAGCUGCAACUGGCCUUGUCACUAGCUGUCACCCACGGUGAUGACCUAGAGAUGGCCUGGACCCCCCACCUCCAGUGUGUGAAAGGCGGUUCACAGAUUGUGUGUCAUUUCCUUUGACUUGGCCGAGACUUGCCGGGGUCAGACUUGGCCCCUGUGUGUCUGAUGACUGGUGAAGAUCUGUGGUAGGGAGUGUUGGUUAUGG